UGCGUAAUAGCUCACUAGUCGAGUGACCCUGCGCCGAAAAUGUACCGGGGCUAAACAUGAAACCGAAGCUGUGGAUUUUAUAGAUAAUAUAAAAUGGUAGGGGAGCGUUCUAAUUGCGACGAAGAUGGAUCGUGAGGACUGUUGGAGCGAUUAGAAGUGAGAAUGCCGGUGUGAGUAGCGCAAGAAGGGUGAGAAUCCCUUCCACCGUUUGCCUAAGGGUUCCUGGGGAAGGCUCGUCCUCCCAGGGUAAGUCGGGUCCUAAGACGAGGCCGAAAGGCGUAGCCGAUGGACAACAGGUUGAUAUUCCUGUACCACCUAUAUAACUGAUGGAGUGACGAAGGAGGCUAUAGAAAGCCAGUUAAUGGAUUCUGGUCUAAGCACAUAGGCGUACAUAUAGGCAAAUCCGUAUGUAAUGUAGCUGAAGUGUUAUGGUGAAGGUAAUAGCGAUAUUACUGAAAUUUCUAGACGCCAAACUUCCAAGAAAAGCUUCUAGGGUUAAUUAUAUAGGUGCCCGUACCCAGAACCGACACAGGUAGGCAAGGAGAGUAUCCUAAGGUGAGCGAGAGAACUAUGGUUAAGGAACUCGGCAAAAUGACCCCGUAACUUCGGGAGAAGGGGUGGUCUAGCGAUAGACCCGCAGUAAAGAGUCCCAGGCAACUGUUUACCAAAAACACAGCUCUCUGCUAAAUCGAAAGAUGAUGUAUAGGGGGUGACACUUGCCCAGUGCUGGAAGGUUAAGAGGAGAGGUUAGUAAUGACUUCGGUUAUAUUUACGAAGCUUCGAAUUGAAGCCCCAGUGAACGGCGGCCGUAACUAUAACGGUCCUAAGGUAGCGAAAUUCCUUGUCAGGUAAGUUCUGACCCGCACGAAAGGCGUAAUGAUCUGGGUACUGUCUCAACCAUAGACUCGGUGAAAUCUUAAUACCUGUGAAAAUGCAGGUUACCCGCGACAGGACGGAAAGACCCCAUGGAGCUUUACUGUAGCUUGAUAUUGGAUCUCGAUGUGUUAUGUAGAGGAUAGGUGGGAGACUAUGAUGUUAGGACGCUAGUUCUAACGGAGUCAACCUUGGAAUACCACCCUUAGCAUGUUGAGAUUCUAACCUCGACCCAUUAUCUGGGUCAGGGACAGUGUCUGGUGGGCAGUUUGACUGGGGCGGUCGCCUCCCAAAAAGUAACGGAGGCGCUCAAAGGUUCCCUCAGAAUGGUUGGAAAUCAUUCGAAGAGCGUAAUGGUAUAAGGGAGCUUUACUGCGAGACCUACAAGUCAAGCAGUUACGAAAGUAGGACAUAGUGGGCCGGCGAUUCAGAAUGGAAUGGUCGUCGCUUAACGGAUAAAAGUUACCCUGGGGAUAACAGGCUGAUACCACCCAAUA
rnacentral:rRNA from 1 species